UUUCCUCAUCUUGUACUGGAGAAAAUUCUUGUGAGUCUCACUAUGAAAAACUGUAAAGCUGCAAUGAAUUUUUUCCAAAGUGUGCCAGAAUGAAGUAGAAGAACUAUUUCUUCAGACAACUUUUGACAAGAUGGACUUUUUAACCAUUGUGAGAGAAUGUGGUAUAGAAAAGCACCAGUCCAGUAUUGGCUUCUCUGUCCACCAGAAUCUCAAGGAAUCACUGGAUCGCUAUCU
rnacentral:sRNA from 1 species